GCCUUCGUGGUGUAGUGGUCAGCACUCUCGCCGCGAAUUCGAGAGAUCCGUGGUUCGAGUCCCGGCAGGGCA
rnacentral:tRNA from 1 species